rnacentral:rRNA from 1 species
AAAAAGAUAAUUUUUAAUUCUAGAAUAAAUCUAAAAAUUUAUAUUUUUAUACAUGAAAUUUUGUAAAUUGAUUAAACUCAGUAUAAAAUUUUUUUAAAAAAAAGAAUUUAAAGAAAUCUAAAAUAAAUAGUAAAACACGUGCCAGCAACUGCGGUCAAACGUGCAUUUUAUAUAGAAUAUCAGAAAUUUAGUAAAAUAAGAAUUUUUUUAAAAAAAAUUAAAAAUGGGUUAAAUCUUUUUAAAAAAAAUUGAUAAAUAAAUUUUUGAAUCUAAAAAAUCUAUUCUAAAAAAGGAUUUGAUACCCUUGUAUAAAGACAUAAAUAUUUUCUAGAGUACUAAUAGAAAACUAAAAACUCAAAGAAUAUGGCAGUACAACAAAACAUUAGGGUAGCUUGAUUUUUUAAAUUAUGAAACUACCCAAAAACCUUACUUUUUAAAUUUAAAGUGUUUAUACCUCCGUUUUAAGAUUUUAACAAAACUUUUUAUUUUAAUUUUUUUUAAAAAAAAUUCAGGUCAAGGCAAAACUUAAAAAGAAAAAUUGAGCUUCAUUUUAACAGAAAGAAUAUAAAUUAAGUUUAAAACUUAAUUUUAAGAGAACUUAAAAGUAAUUUUUUUUAUUAUAAAAAAAUGAAAGAUUUAAAGUUGUAUGUACAAAUUGCCCGUCACUCUUAAUAAAACUUAAAAUAAGUCGUAACAAAGUAAGUGGUAUUGGAAAAUGCCCUUAGAAUCAAAAUUUUAUUUAUCUUAUAA